AUGGCUCAGGACGAACGCUGGCGGUGUGCCUCAUACAUGCAAGUCGAACGAUAAGGUCUCUUCGGAGAUACAUAAGUGGCGGACGGGUGAGUACAACAUAGGAAAUCUGCCCUAAAGCGGGGGACAACAGAGGGAAACUUCUGCUAAUACCCCAUAUGAGCUUAGUUGAAAUACUAAUCUUGAAAGAUUUAUCACUUUAGGAUGAGCCUGUGCCUGAUUAGCUGGUUGGUGGUGUAAUGGACUACCAAGGCGACGAUCAGUAGCUGGUUUGAGAGGAUGAUCAGCCACAAUGGGACUGAGACACGGCCCAUACUCCUACGGGAGGCAGCAGUAGGGAAUUUUGCGCAAUGGGCGAAAGCCUGACGCAGCAACACCGCGUGAAUGUUAAGCCCUUCGGGGUGUAAAGUUCUGUCAGUAGGGAAGAACAAAUGACUGUACCUGCAAAGGAAGCACCGGCUAACUCCGUGCCAGCCGCGGC
rnacentral:rRNA from 1 species